ACUCAAAGACAAGGCAUGGGAGACCAAAAGGAAACCAAUACUGCUGUGGCAGGGAAAAGCCAGAUGGGAUUCUUGAGAAAAUCUCAGGAAUUUUCAACCAUAUUUUGCAUUGAUGAGCUAAUGGACUGUCUUGAAACAAAUGGACCAGAAUGAAAAUGUGCGACUAACUGGACCUUCACCUUUAAGUAUUUGACUGCUUAUUAAAGGAAACUCUGGCAGUACAAUACCCAGUGGGUUCUGUUUGAAGGCCUCCCUGAAGAAAAGCAAACAGGAGACUGCUGUCUUUGG